GCCCAGUGAUGAGACCAAGGCGAAUAUGAGCUUACUGAAUGAGAGUUGGGUUCUUCUUCGCCUUGACUGGCAGGUAAUCUUGGUAGUGCAGAGGAGGAUUCCUGCUUUGCUGUAAGGGCCUGCCUACAGUGACUUAGCUCGCCCCAAAUUAUUCCUUUAAAGUUACAUUGGAGUAACCACGGGGAUGAAGCUGACAGUGGGGGUGUGUGUGUGUGUGUACACGUUUGUGUACAUGUGUGAAAGGCAAGAAGUUCACCCAUCUCUCUUUGCUGUUCAGUCAGCCAUGAGUUGCUUCUUUGGUAAUCUGAGGGCA